CAGCCUGUGACCAUGUCGCCUUCAGCUCAUCAGACCUUUGCAUGCAGCCAGAAUGAGCACAUUGUCUUCCUUCCCCAGAUGCAUACUGAGCAGCCAGUAAGGACCAUCGCUAUUCCAGAUGGGACAUUGCAAUGAAGAGGAGAGGCACGGCCUGCCUCCAUGGAGCUGAUGUUAUUUUAGGGAGGCAGACGGUAAUCAAAGAAACAAGAGCUGUUUCUGAGGAGUUAGCAUCCCAGCUGAGGCGUGAAUAAAGGGAAGGACUCAGAAUUUUCCAGGUACAUGAAAUGCAAAUGCCAAGGCCCCAAGGUGGGUGCAGACAAGGAGGCCCAGCUGGAGUGGAUUGAGGGAAGGAGAUAGGAAAGGACAGGGUCAGAAUGGGGAGGCUUGUAGGGGGCAGAUCUUGCAGGGCUUAUGGGCCAUGAAUGGACUUUGAUGUCUACCCUGGAAGAGGUGGGAGCCAUGGGAAGCCUUUGGGCAGAAGACUGUGCUGUGACUUCAGCUCUGUAGGAUUUUUGUGGUGGUUACAAGGGAAGACUGUUGGGGUGAGGGUAGAGGUAGGGAGACCUGGGAGGUGAAUGCUGCCGGAGUCCUGGUUAGCAGAGUAGGUCAGAUCACGAUGGUGGAGGUAGAGGUGUUGAUCAGUGGUCAGAUAGAGAUCUGUUUUGAAGGUGGAGCGGACAGGGUUAAUGGGUUGAAGCGCAGCAUCCAAGGGCAGAGCAAGGCUGGCUCAGGACCCUGAAAGUAUUUUCGUUUGCUACAGCUGCCAUCACAAAAUACCACAGGCUGGGUGACUUAAACAAUAAACUUUUAUUUUCUCACACUCUGGAAGCUGGAAGUCCAAGAUCAAAGUGUUGUUGGCAGGGUUGGUUUCUCCUGAGUCUUCUCUCCUUGGUUAGUAGAUGGCCACUUUCUUGCUGUGUCCUCACCAUGGCCUUUCCUCAUUAGCAUGCCCCUGGUCUCUCUCUCCCAGUCAUACUGGAACAGGGCCUACCCACAUGACUUUGUUUAAUGUUAAUUACCUCUUUAAAGGUCCUCUAUCCAAAUACAGUCACAUUCUAGGGCUUAGGUUAGGAUAUUAACAUAUGAAUUUGGGGGGGGGGACACACUUCACUCCAUAAUGGGUCGAAGGGGCAUUGGUAUGACUGUGGGGAUACUUUCUGGGAGGCUCCUGAGGAGAGGAGAGAGAGGGUAGCAUCUAGAGGAGACCCAGGUGCCAGGGAGGAACGAGCCCAGACUGACAGUUAGUAGGUGUGGGGUGACCUGGAAACUCCAUGGAAGCUUCCCUCAGGGCGUUCCUCUCUGUACAGAUUGUGAGUCUGUGCUGUUAGAGCUGGGAGGAGUCCUGCCCUUUCCACGGCCUGAGGCCAAGGUAUUCUUUGCCUUUAGCCCAGCACAAGAAAAGUUUGCUGAAGAACAAGGAAUGAAUAACUGAGUGGCAGAUGGACAGACAACUGGAUUCUCAUUUACCUUCCAUAUGCACCAUGGCCCUUCAACUCCAUACUCCAGACCUUGGGAGACCCCUUUUGUGCUUAUUCUCUGGUUAUUCAACCAGUGUUCUAGGCCUCUGGGCUUUCCUGAAUAGACUUUCCUCUCUGUCUCUUUCUCAUCCUCUCCCCAGAUUUCAAACCUCAUCUCUUUGAGGAAGUGUUCGUUUUAACUUGGCACUGUAUCAAUCAGUUAUCCUCUGUAAUGAAUAGUUUCAACAGUUCAGUUACUGACAGAAAUAAGCACUUAUUCCUCUCAUGAGUCUAAGGAUUGGCUAUUCUGGCUGGGGCUUGGCUCCAGGCUCCAGGUUGGGUCCAUCUUUGUUGCACUUGUUUUGUAGGGCUCAUGGUGAUGGCAGAGAUGCCAGCAGGCUUGCGCCCAGGCUCAAGACUAACAUACUAGCAAUGCCACUCACAUUCCAUUGGCCAAACGAGUCACAUGGCCACACCCAAAGUUAAGGAAAGGGUAUCCAUGCUGUCUUCAGUGAGAGGAACCACAAAUGUGGCCAAAGGUGUGUACACGAGGAGGGGUGAAGAAAUGAGCCAGUAAUUCCAUCCACAUCAUCAAUCCUUUUGAUUUCUUUCUUUCAGUUCAGAAAAGUCAACAAAGUUAACAUUUGUGAUCUUGGUUUCUUUCUGAUCAAGGAAGGCGACCACAGAGCAUAUUCAAGGACCUGCUGCAAUCCAUCCCGAGGAUAAUAAUGGAGGUCGUCAGAAAAGAGAUCUCAUGAGGGUCUGUGUUCACACACUUUGGCGCUCCUGAGGCCUACUCAGGGAACCGGAACAGAGGUCCUACUGAGGACAUAGGGCAACAUUUGCUUUUCUGGGAAAAAGAAGUUAAGCAAUGGUCAGUCCCCAGCAUGGAAAAUCCUAGUGUGGGGAGAGGUUAUGGAGGCAGUGAAGCUGUGAGGGGUGUCAGGAUACCUUCGAGCCCUGUCGAACAAAA
rnacentral:lncRNA from 1 species